GAUGAAGAACGUAGCGAAAUGCGAUAAGUAAUGUGAAUUGCAGAAUUCAGUGAAUCAUCGAAUCUUUGAACGCAUCUUGCGCUCCUUGGUAUUCUGAGGAGCAUGCCUGUUUGAGUGUCAUUUUGAACUCUCAAAGCCCACGUUUUGACGUGGCUUUGGACUUGAGGGCUUUUGCAGGCUUUUGAUCAGAAAGCCUGCUCCCUUGAAAAUCAUCAGUGGUAUCUGGAGCGGAAACCGCUAGGUGUUGAUAACAUUUCAUCUAUGCCUUUGGGUAUGCCGCGUAAAAUGUGCUGCUUCCAACCACCCCAUGCUCUUUGACAAACUUGACCUCAAAUCAGGUGGGACUACCCGCUGAACUUAAGCAUAUCAAUAAGCGGAGGA
rnacentral:misc_RNA from 1 species